rnacentral:rRNA from 1 species
UACGUAGGGUGCGAGCGUUAAUCGGAAUUACUGGGCGUAAAGCGUGCGCAGGCGGUUCGCUAAGACCGAUGUGAAAUCCCCGGGCUUAACCUGGGAACUGCAUUGGUGACUGGCGGGCUCGAGUAUGGCAGAGGGGGGUAGAAUUCCACGUGUAGCAGUGAAAUGCGUAGAGAUGUGGAGGAAUACCGAUGGCGAAGGCAGCCCCCUGGGCCAAUACUGACGCUCAUGCACGAAAGCGUGGGGAGCAAACAGG